CCGACCUUAGCUCAGUUGGUAGAGCGGAGGACUGUAGUGUGUUGCAGGUCAAUCCUUAGGUCGCUGGUUCGAAUCCGGCAGGUCGGA
rnacentral:tRNA from 1 species